rnacentral:rRNA from 1 species
GACAGAGGGUGCAAACGUUGCUCGGAAUUACUGGGCGUAAAGCGCGUGUAGGUGGAUUGGUGUGUCAGAUGUGAAAUCCCUGGGCUCAACCCAGGAACUGCACCUGAAACUACCAGUCUUGAGUGGUGGAGAGGGAAGUGGAAUUCCUGGUGUAGUGGUGAAAUUCGUAGAUAUCAGGAGGAACACCAGUGGCGAAGGCGGCUUCCUGGACACCAACUGACGCUGAGACGCGAAAGCGUGGGGAGCAAACAGG